UACGGAGGGUGCAAGCGUUAUCCGGAUUCACUGGGUUUAAAGGGUGCGUAGGAGGGUCUGUAAGUCAGCGGUGAAAUCUCCGAGCUUAACUCGGAAACUGCCAUUGAUACUAUAGAUCUUGAAUACCGUGGAGGUGAGCGGAAUAUGUCAUGUAGCGGUGAAAUGCUUAGAUAUGACAUAGAACACCAAUUGCGAAGGCAGCUCACUACACGCAUAUUGACUCUGAGGCACGAAAGCGUGGGGAGCGAACAGG
rnacentral:rRNA from 1 species